UACAGAGGUCCCAAGCGUUGUUCGGAUUCACUGGGCGUAAAGGGUGCGUAGGUGGCCAGGAAAGUCUGAUGUGAAAUCUUCGAGCUCAACUCGGAAAUGGCAUUGGAAACUAUUUGGCUGGAGGGUCGGAGGGGGGACUGGAAUUCUCGGUGUAGCAGUGAAAUGCGUAGAUAUCGAGAGGAACACCAGUGGCGAAGGCGAGUCCCUGGACGACUCCUGACACUGAGGCACGAAAGCUAGGGGAGCAAACAGG
rnacentral:rRNA from 1 species